rnacentral:SRP_RNA from 1 species
CCAUACCGGCCGGGGAGUUAGCGGUGCCUUGUACCUGCAAUCCGCUAUAGCAGGGGUUAUUUCCGCUCUUGAGGGCGAAGCGGGUGUGGUCAGCACCGAUCGUUUUGCGUGUUGAAGAAUGGGUCCUGUGCAACUAAUGGCUGUGAACCAUGUCAGGUGGGAGACCAAGCAGCAUUAAGCAGUAUCACUUAGUGUGCCACGGGUUCGCCUGUUCGGAGCGCAGACAUCGGAAAGCGCAUGUUCGUUUCUGCUCGAUUUUGCGGUGUAUGG